GUCGUUGUAGUAUAGUGGUAAGUAUACCUGCCUAUAACGCAGAUGACUCGAGUUCGAUUCCCGGCGACGACG